GUCUCGAGGUGGGGUCCAGUUCCCAGGUUCCCACAGCCCCCACCCUCAGCGAGCCUCUUCUGCCCAGCAGCAGGCAAGCAUGUGGGAUGGGAUCUUAGUUCCCCGACCAGGAAUGGAACCCGCGCCCCCUGCACUGGAAGCACAGAGUCUUAACCACUGGACUGCCAGGGAAGUCCCAGAAGACCUAUGGAGCAGACUCAGAUCUACAGCAGAUAGCAAGCGUGCCAACCAGGAUUUGCCUAUUCCGGACAUUUCAUAUAAAUGGAAUCACAUACUUUGCGAUCUUUUGUGCCUGGCUUCUUUCACUCAGCGUAACAUAUACAAGUUUCAUCCAUGUUGCAGCAGGUUGCUUAAAGUGGAGGAGAACAGGCAGAGAGGCGCCGUCUAAUUAACUGCCCAUACGGUCAGCCCUGCCAGGUCAAGGAUCUCGGUCUGUUUUUUCCCUGACAUAUCUCAGAGCCUAAAACACUGCUUGGCACAUGACUGGUACUCAAUAAAUAUU